CCUACGGGUGGCAGCAGUGAGGAAUAUUGGUCAAUGGACGCAAGUCUGAACCAGCCAUGCCGCGUGCAGGAAGACGGCUCUAUGAGUUGUAAACUGCUUUUGUAUGAGGGUAAACCCCGUUACGCGUAUGUCUCUGAAUGUAUCGUACGAAUAAGGACCGGCUAAAUCCGUGCCAGCAGCCGCGGUAAUACGGAGGAUGCAAGCGUUAUCCGGAUUUAUUGGGUUUAAAGGGUGCGUAGGCGGUCGGAUAAGUUAGAGGUGAAAUCCCGAGGCUCAACUUCGGGAUUGCCUCGGAUACGGUCGGGCUAGAGAGUAGUUGCGGUAGGCGGAAUGUAUGGUGUAGCGGUGAAAUGCUUAGAGAUGAUACAGAACACCGAUUGCGAAGGCAGCUUGCCGA
rnacentral:rRNA from 1 species